rnacentral:lncRNA from 1 species
UGCUCAGUCUCAUCUACUCAUGAGACUCCUAUACCCCCUUGCCAGUGAUGGAUUUAGGAAUACAGUUGUGACCAAUUCUCUACAACAUAGUGAAUUCAGCCAGAGGGCUUCCAAGAAAAAUUUCUUCACUCCUCAGAGACACAAGAAGAUCUAGUCUCUGUCUCUCCUCCCGCUGAGUGUUCUCUGGAUAUGACAUGGAGCUUCUGUAACCAUCUUACUACCAGUUUGAGGAUAAAACCCACCAUGAAGGCAUGGUGUGGAAGACAGAAUAAUGGCCCCGAAGACGACUUACAUGGCAUAGGGAAAUCAGGAUUGCAGAUGGAAUUAAGGUUGAUAAUCAAGUGAUCUUAAAAUAGGAAGAUUGUACUGAAUUUAACAGGCUCGAUGUAAUCACAAGGAUCCUUAGACGUGGAAGAGGGAGGCAGAAGAGAGUGAGAUGUGACUAUGGAAGAGAAUCAGGGAGAUGUGAAAAUUACUCACUCGCCAUUGCUGGAGGAGAUGGAAGAAGGGGGUCACAAACCAAGGAAUAAAUGUGGCCUCCAGAAAGUGUGAAAGGCAAGAAAAUGGAUUCUUCCCUAGAGCCUCCAGAAAAAAGUGCGGCCCUGCCAACACCUUUAUUCUAGCCCAUGUCAGAUUUCUAGCCUAAAAAACUGUAAAAUAAUACAUUUAUGUUGUUUUAAGCCAUUUAGUUUGUAGUGAUUUGUUACGGCAGCAAUAGGAGACCAAGACACUGGGCAAAUCUGCUUCCUUCCCAAGGGCUCACUUAUAGGCGAGGCCGCAGCAGAAACAGUGAGGAGGAAGCAGUUGGAACAGAACAACCUCUCACAUGAAUAACUCUUGGCCCUCCUGUCUUGAUGCUACCAUGAAAGAAGAAAGCAUCUAAUAUUUCUCCAUAAUCUACCUCUUUAAAGUGAAAUAAUAAAUCUGAGAAUUUUAGCAGUGGACAAAAGGAUAAAGUUCAUCUGUAUCAAUGGCUUUCAAGCUUUCAUUUAGCAGAGGAACAUUUUUUAAAAAUAGAGAAUCACAGACAAACAAUAUCCAAGACAUAAAAGUGGAGCUAUCCUGAUUGAAGCCCAAGGCCCAUGGUCUUUCGCCUCCCCUGAGGAACUGAGGACGAAGGACAAAAACCAUCCACCUAGGACACUUGGCCCCUGGACUGGAGAACAGCAAAACAAAAGUUAGAACUCAAGUCUCUACCUCAGCCUGGUGCCUAGGCAAAAAGAUUGACUAUAGGCUGUUCUCAGAACACUUGUGGGACAGCCUUCUGUGGUCAAUGAGAUUUAUGCAGCAUCACGGGACAUCUGUGAAUUUCCUAUAGACAGAUCUACACCUCUUCUUACAUGUUUCUUGUGUAUGUUGCACUUUGUUAUACACUGGAUCUUCACACCUAGAGCCAGUCCCACUGGAGAUGUGAAAUAAACAGCUUACUACAUGAUGUGACUGUGUGACAACACAGUCAUCAUCUGACUCCAAACCUCUCCCCCAGCAGUCCGCCAAGAUGCCUGACACUCUACCAUUGGAGUCUCUAAGGAAUUGCCUACAAAAGGCUCCCUUCAAAAUUUAAAUACAUUUCAUUGAUUGCAAGGCUCACACUGUAUCAUUUCUAAACAUCUUUAAAAUCAGGGCCUAACAAAUCUCUGGACUCUUGCAGUUAUAAUUUUUUUAAUGGUACAUAAAUAAAUGUAGCAUCUUGCAAUCGAUGUCAUUUUAGAUUUGAAGAAAUACGGUAUGUGACUUGGGUGGAUGAGAAAUAAAUUAACCUAUUAGCACCUUUGAAGGCUGAAGCAGAUCAGAGUCCUCAAAAAAUGGAGAUAGGAGUGUGUGUGCAUGUGUGAGUGUGCAUGUGUGCAAGGUAGAGUCUCCGCACUAGCAGGGAUCUCAGCAGACAAGAACAAGCAUGACAGGGAAGGGAGGGAGACAUGGGAAAGCUUUCUUGGGCUGUGUGGAGCUUAUAUUCUGACAUAGAGAUUGAAUAAAUUAAGAUCCUCAUUUGGAUACAUGGCAAAGGUUUUUUGGAUUGUGUAAAGUUUAUAUUCUGACAUAAGAAAUUGAAUAAAUUAAGAUCCUCAUUUGUUCUUGGCAGCAAAUGAGAUUCCAAAAUGGUUGCUAGAGUUAUGUUACAAUGACAUUCCUUAUUUCAGAGUCUAUAAUCAAGCAAAUCAAGUUAAUCAAGUAAAUAUAAAAUAUACAGUUUUAAAUGUAACUCAUUCAUUCUAC